AUUGAACGCUGGCGGCAUGCCUUACACAUGCAAGUCGAACGGUAACGGGCCUUCGGGUGCCGACGAGUGGCGAACGGGUGAGUAAUGCAUCGGAACGUACCUUUCAGUGGGGGAUAACGUAGCGAAAGUUACGCUAAUACCGCAUAUUCUGUGAGCAGGAAAGCAGGGGAUCGCAAGACCUUGCGCUGAUUGAGCGGCCGAUGUCAGAUUAGCUAGUUGGUGAGGUAAAGGCUCACAAAGGCGACGAUCUGUAGCGGGUCUGAGAGGAUGAUCCGCCACACUGGAACUGUGACACGGUCGAGACUCCUACGGGAAGCAGCAGUGGGGAAUUUUGGACAAUGGGGGCCAACCUGAUGCAGCCAUGCGGCGUGAGUGUAGAAGGCCUUCGGGUUGUAAAGCUCUUUCGGCCGGGAAGAAAUCGUAUGGGCUAAUACCCUGUGCGGAUGACGGUACCGGCAUAAGAAGCACCGGCUAACUACGUGCCAGCCGCCGCGGUAACAC
rnacentral:rRNA from 1 species